UAUUGCCCUUUCUCUCUCCUCUCUCUACUCUCUCUCUCUCUGUCUGCCUGCCUGUCUGUCACUGCCAGUUCCUAAGAAGAGGGUUCUGACUAUUACCAUGAAGUGUUCGUCCAGCGUACCCCUCUACUGCGAGGACAUCCGCACACAGACAGAGGUCCUGUCAAAGUUGCAGGAGCAUUUCCGCAAGGAGUUCUACAAGAAGAUAGAUAUUGUGUUCUGGGAACUGGACUGGAGAGAGGCAUAAUAUCUCACACAAGCUUGACCAAAUACUACUACUUUAAUACACAUUUAAGGGAAUUUGCCGCAACACUUUUGGUCCCCUAAAAUGGGGGUACUAUAUACAAAAAGCGCUGUAAUUUCUGCACGGUUCACCCGAUAUAAAUGAAAAUACCCUCAAAUUAAAGAGUACAGAGUACAUAUCUACUUUAA